CAAGGAUCAAUGAUGUCACAUAAAGCACGAGGCGCAGCUCUUAAUAAUCGGGACAAAUACACCAUUAACUUUUGAAUUAAUUUCCUGCAUCUGGAUGGGCUAUGGUAAACUGUUCCUCAUUACGGAAGCAGAUGCUUUAAAAGCCAGACUGGAUGGGAUCAAAGGCCUAUCCAGACUAACCUGCUUUAGCUCAUUUUCAUUAUCAUCCGCUGACUAAAACAUCUACUGCAUUAUUCACAUCAGUUUUAAAGCUUGGCCCUUUUUCUGCCUUUUUGAGCACUUUUUUUGUUUUCUUCAGAAGAUGUUAUAGAGGACAGAUAGCCUCUCGUCAUGUCAAUCAAAUCCUCCGCAUUUAUUAUGAUAACUCACCGAAUGCAAAACAAACAAUGGUAAACAAUGUUUCCUUUAGCAGCCAUAGAGUUAAGCUAUGCAGUGUGUGUGUGUGCGUUUUGUGUGAGAUAAUGUGUAUGUGCUGCUGGGCAAAGGCCGUAGUGCUGAUGGUAAUGUAUUUUUCUGCAAACAAGAAAGAUUGCUGAGUCCCUGCCUCCUGGAGAAAGGGGGCGGCGGGGUGCUGCAUGGCGAUGGCGGGGAUUCAGGUAUAUGGAUGGCCUAAGGAGGUUUCCAUCAUUCAUAAAGCACGGCCGCCGUACGCACCCUGACGCCGAAUUGAUCUUGCAAAAGAAGCAGGGUGGCAGAGCGACCACUUCAUUAGUCUCCCCGAGCUACAAAUCACCUGCUAGUGCUGCGGCACUCAAGAGGGGACCGGUGUUACCCGCGCCACAUUACUACAGCCUCAACAGUCUGAAGUGACCGCCUGUUCAUGCCGCCAUUAUGAGUGAGUUAUGGAGCGAUGCAAAAAAAUAUUCUCUACACAUCCGGUAUUACUGCGGGUCACAGUCGACAGUCCCACGAUGAAUGUGCCGAGCUUUAAGUGCGGCAUAAUCCACAGAGGGAAAAAGCCCGGCAGGCUGGAGGCUCGCUUUUGUUUGUGCACCUGCCUCCCCUGGUGAAAUCACCUUUUUCAAAGUGUGUUAAGGAAGUUGGUCCACUUGUUCGACAAAAACUAAUGAUGCACAGAAUAGCCUUUGAUUGUAGUCUUUAUUGUAUUUUGUGGUGCUUCAUUUAAAAAAACGAUACCAACGCUACAUAGAACACUGUAUUAAACCUAUGGGUUUCCCUGUGAAGAGUGUGAUUUGAUGAUAUUUUGUAGUGCGCUGCUCCAUAAUUUUGCAUAUCAAGGACAGGAAGUAGUGAACCAUUGGGGGAGUGGCUUUUUGCUUCAGUGUGGCUCGAUUGGCUCGUUUUAUUCAAUGGAAAGUGAUGAAAGUGGGAAUUAUGAUGCACAGGUUCUACAAGACGGUACACACGAUUUCUGAUCCUGUUGGCUUGAUCGUACUACUAACUGUUGUUCAGCUGGAAGUGUCCUACACAUUUCCAACGGAGAGCAGUCUCCAAGUCUUUAUUGUAAGAUGAUACUUUUGAGAUCUCCCACUCACUAUCUCACUCUCAAUUUUGUUCGAAAUAGUAUAAUAAAAUACAUUUUUACACUUUUAUGAACAAAAACAAAAAUUGUGUGUGUUGCGUUAUUUAAAAGCAGUAAACUAAAACUAAAACUGUGCAAUGCCAUUUGUUUGAGACAGUCGACACUACUGCCAUGUCCCAUAUAACAAGGAUUGCUCAUUCUUUGAUUUGUUGGGCUUAUUAAUAGGAAUUAAAGUUGUCCCUGAAGACCCCCAAAAGAGCCUUUUCUGGUCAUUAUUCCUCACAGGUGUUUCAAUCAUUCCAAUAUUCAGUUAAGAGGCUUACUUGUUGUUUCAUAGGUCAUGGGGUUGCAGCAUGUGCACUUGAAAUAAAUACAUUUUUUAUAAUUAAGUUGAAUGUUUGUUAUGUAUCACACACUAUCAGGUCACUCUGUAAGUCCAUUUGAAGAAGCCACAACGCAGCACACACAUUUCUACAUAUUCUUUUUCUAUUUUAGUUUUACGUAUGCAAAACAACAAACAUUCUAAUGGACAUCUAUGAUUAUAUUAUAUACAUACUAUAAUCAAGUUCAGUUUUUCCUAAUAAUGUUAUGAGGAGCAAAGGGUUAACAAUUAAGUUGAGUAUGGUUGUUUUUUACAGUUGUACAUCAGUAGUAUGUAGAAUAAAAUCCUCAAGGCUUUUACUGAUCAAGCCUUUAAUAUCAUAAAAACAUCCCAAGAGCUACACAUUUAAAGAAUAUUAUAGGAAAUAACCCUACGAAAUCGGAAUUUUGCUCCCCUCUUUGGAGUUGAAUAUUAGAAAACUACAUUAUUAACAUUACACUCAUUUCUUCAAUGCACCAUGCAUCAAUGCAUCACUUUUCAGAAAUUUUGAGAGGUGGCAGCGGUGGGUGAUCAAAUAAACUCGUGCCUUCAAUCAAGAGACAAAUGGCCUCGUGGUUCAGCAACAAUGUUGAGGUGACCCGUAAGCACAAUGAACAGCUACACAUUAUCCUCUGAGAACAACAGUGACAGAGGACUCAGAGGACUUAGAAGUAUUAUUUCAAGCUGAAUGAAAACAAGCACUUAAGCUUUUCAUGAGUAAAAGUCAUUACCUUGAUUAGCUAAUGAAUGUCAUAGGUGUUGCAUUAGUAUACAUAAUGGUGAAAACUUACCAGACACUUUUAAAACUGUCCUGACAGGAGCUUUAUUCAUUUCAAGGAUGUUGAAACCAAUGCCACAGCAAUACUCCCAGAGGUAUUUCAAAAACACAAUUUACUUAUAGAAAUAAUAAAGUAGAGAACCAUUGAUAGAAACUGAUCUAGAUAUUUAGAUGUGAUAUGUUGCUUGCUGGCUCUGUAUAUUUCGCCCGUCCCUCGUUAUCACUUUCUUGUCAUUGUGUAUUUAUUCUUAUUCUUAGUCUGUGCAUCUUUCUUUCAGUUUCUUGAACACUGUCUAUAUUCUAUAUACUCUAUGGUGGACUGUUUACUUAUGUUCCGAUAACUGAUGUUAAGUAAACUCUUUUACUUUAAUCUCGUUUACUUUAGUCACCUUGUCGACACAAGGUCAUGCUAUUGAGUAUUAUUUGUGUUGGUAGAUUGAGACACGCUGAUUUAUGUAUUUAUUUUGGUUAAAGGAAAACGUGUGUACAUGUGUCAUCAUUACCCUUACAAUAUGAGCAAAUGCCUUCACGGAAAAAUCCUCGGCAGGGAGCAGGAGCCCUACUGACCCAUAAAGGUCUCUGCACGUUGCUGACUAGGAACGCCUGCAAAUCUUUGAACUAAGACAGAACUGCGAUCCUAAACAUCCCCACGAUUGUCAAUAACCUUUUCCCUUCCAUAAACCGUAGCAAUAACUGUGUCGUAUAGUCAUGACAUUUGCCAGCCCAAUAUCCCCGAGAGUUAUUGGUAAUUUCACACCGCCUGAUCUACAUCCUGUGACAACAUGGAAAAAAGUAAGGAGGUAUUGGAUAGGAAUGUAGCGCUUUUUAUGCUAGACGCUGCAUGAUGGUCAUAUGCUCACAAUCUUUGUACAGUUUUCCUGGUUUCCCCGGCCCAAGAUUUUAUUGUCAUUCAGAUAGACUUUUACUUUAGCACUACAAUUUAUUUAGAUUUUUUAAUCAAUCCUCCAUAUGAAGCAGCUCAACAUUACAGUGGCCUCAUCCGUACAGGACAGCAGCAGGCCCGUUAUACCUCUUUGAAUUACACAACUAUCACGCCACGUAAUUAGUCAGAGUAAUGAUGCCAAGCGGUCGCAGGGAAGAUGGAGCACUCCGUCAGGCCUUGGUUUGUGAUCUCUGAGGAGGCAACUUCACAGAGGGGCAGGGCAGAGUGAAAACAAAGUGCGAAGGCCUUCCAUGCACACAAAUCUUGUCAAUGGUAAUUGAUUGUUGUUGGUCACCCGCACAGGACCUGGACAAAAUCAAGUGGCUUCUCCAUAAAACAAUGUCAAAUAUUGAUGAUAUUUCUCUUUGUGGCCUCUAGAAUGAAUAGCCUCAUCCUUCCUCUAGUUUUGAUGAAUGUGUGUUAUUGCCAUCGCCUCUUGUUGUCUUUCUGUUGUCAUUUUACCUGCCGCUCGCUUGGAAUGAAAAGGAGAUGUUUCCUGCAAUUUCCUUCUUACCACUCCUCUUAAAACUAACACCUGACAAAGUCUGAUUACAUACCUAACUUUACAUUUUUAUGAACUGAAUUCAAAUCCAUUUUAGUCUGUGAUUUAUUGAUCUGCUGUGUCUUUAAAAGGGUGAUAUCCCUUUUUUCUUUUAUCACAAACAAUACAGAAAAGAUGCUGUGCCAAUGUGCACAUGGUCUGCCAUGACAGGCAAAAGACAUUUGACUUGAAAAUACACAACGUGAAUUCAAGCUCCUCUGCCUGUUUUCUACAUUUCAUCCAUCAACAUCUCUAUCAAACAAACUAUUCUCCCCUUCUUCUUAUUGUCUGUUUAAACUUGCAUGCCCCCCCCAAAGCUUUCCACACUCUAUUCCCUUUACUGUGAGCGUGAGAGGUCUAAAAGCUCGUCAAGUCCAAUGUUUCACAUCAGAAACGGUUUGUGUGCGUGUCAGUACUGGGUCUCUGGGAGAGCCAAACAACAGAGACAGACAUAUAGAGCAAAUAGGGGGGCAAAACACUAUAUGGAGUUUGUGAUGAAUGUCGGAGGGGACAGUCUAUGUUUUCUGUGAUGAUGGGGGGUAGGAGGAUUUUGAAAGACAUACUGAAUAUGACACACACACACACACGUUCUGACAGUCCCUCGCUGACUUGUGCAGCUUAACAAAUGCAUCAGAAGAAUGUCCAUCAAUUAUUCAAUCCCCUGGUUUGGAAAAGUGCGUUUCUGUGUGUGUUUGUGCACAUAUUUUUAGAGGGGUGUGGGGGGGGGGGUUAAAAAAGUCCCCCAAGGUUAGGCCCAUUUUGAAAAAGGGGGACCAUGCUAAACGGCAGACAGCGGUGAUACAAGUACAGCACUGGUCCAAGGGAAAUGUAGCGAUUUGCACCAAGGAGGCAGCGCCUCUGCACUGAUACUGCACAUGAAACAUGAGAGACACAAGGUUAGUAUGCUUUCACGGCUAAUUGCUGUAUUGCCACCCCUGUGCUUACUAUCCUUACUUACUAGGUUAAAUUCUCAUCAGUCUCGGUGGUCCACAUUGUUCCUGGAGCAGGUGGCUCACUUCGUGCUGCCCAGGCUCCCCUUAGCCAAGGAAACGGCUUACAUCAUGGUCAGCUAGGUGUUCCGCCGACAUGGGAUUCCUGUGGACAGACAUUGCGGCCCGCAGUUCGUAUCCCAGGUUCUGGAAAGCAUUUCGGUCGGGACCUUGGUGCAACUAUCCUGUCUUCCGGCUUCAACCCCCAACCUAAUGGACAGACAAAGACCCCACCAGGAGCUGGAAGACUCCACUGCUUGAGGAGAUAGCCAUAGCCUCAGUCCAUCUCUGCCGCUGUAGGGAGGUGUGGAAGGAGACACGGUCCGCCUCCGAUGCCGCCGCAUUUCUUCCCCCGCGUUGCCAGGUCGUUCAAAGGGUCGGACUCUCUACCACGGACAUCCCACUAAGGACCAUAUCCCAGUAGAUGUCGCCCCAAUUCAUUGGCUCCUUUGAGAUCCGUGCCAUUAUCAACACUUCUACGGUCCAUCUGUCACUCCCCUAGACCAUGAUGAUCCACCCGACAUUUCAUGUGUCACAAAUUUAACCAAUGUUCACCACUGCCCUGACCCCUGUAUGUGGGUACCAGUCUUACAAGACCAGUUACAGAUUUCUCAACUCUGAUACUUAUCUGUUCCUGCCAGUUUAAAGCCGUCCCGUGUCAUUCCACGGAGAUCAACAUUAAAUGUAAGCCUGCCGUCCUGUGUCCUUCUUGUUUUGCUGUUAUUAAUAAUCUGCAUCUGAUUCUGGUCCUGUGGUUGCUAUUGUAAUUUCCAGUCCCGUAAGUCCUGUUACUGUUGUGUGAAAAAAAUUCCCUUCGCCUCUUUCUAGGCUGGCACAAUAGAAUACUUGAUACUCUUCAAAGUAAGCCUCAAGUAAUACUGAUCAACCUUUCCUCCCAUGCUGUCUGUAGUUUACCCUUUUGUGCAACGUAUGACAACGCUCAAAACCUUUUCAGAUCAGUGUAUGACUUGAUUUCAAAGAAUAGCAUAACUGUGGUUGUACAACUUCAGUAAACACAAGCUGCAAUCAUGGCCCCCUAUAAAACCAUACAACACUACAGUUGUCACAGUAUUUCAUAAUUGUAACAUAAAUGUGUAAAUUAACAACCAAGGCCGUAGUUCAACAGUUAAUGUUGUAAAUUAAAAAUAACUAGUGUAAUUUAACAGCAUGAUACAGUAUUUUUUAUGAAGUAGUGGGAAUGCACAUCUUUAUACAAAAUCUAAGUCUAUUGUAGGUUAAUAUGUCUGUGAUGAUGAUAGAAUAUUAUUAUUAUUCAAACUGUUCAUUACAUAAAAAUCCUUUUUGAGUGACCAGAUUGUGAUCCUGAGCACAUUUCAUGUGGAGUUCAAUGCAGGAAGUUACUCAUUGCUCAUUACUCAUCGUCUCUCCAAGUAACAUUGCGCUUCUCAUACCAAUUCAACAUAUUUAUGUUUUUCACGAUCAUUAAAGUGUUGAUAUCUUAGAUAAUGUUUCCCUUGGUCUGUUUCGUUAUAUUAGGUCACCAAUCUUGGCAGAGCUAGUUCUGCGACAUAAGCUAGCUAGCUAACAGUAUGGCCAAAAAAGGCUAAUAUUGAAACAAGCGGAAAAAGCAUCUUUGUUAAAGACAGACGUUUACUUUAAAACCAACAAUCUACUGAUAUAGGUCUCUUAUGAGUUAAGCUCUCUUCCAAAACAAUAAGGCAGAGCUAACAACCCUCUCUCCUGCGGCCACUUCUUGUUUUGUCAUCUUUGUACUCUUUGUCCCUUUUGAAAACUCUCUCUGUCCUUCCUCCAACACAGUCUCCGUUCAUACUUAUGUUUACCACUUCCUUAAGUCUUUUUCAUUUUUAACAGAGACAGUGUUUCUAAAUGUUUUAUUUUGUCAGUUUUUCAGUGACUACAGGAAAAAAGCCACUUGCUACUCCAGUGUUUCAAGGUGUUCUCGUUCUUACUGUUAUUAGUUCAUGUGUGAGUACAUAUAGUCAGUUUGUGGGGUGCAUGGGUGCUAAUUUAGUGAUUCACUGUUUACAUUCAAUAGAACACCUCUUCUGACUAUACCUUCACUAGGUACGAGCACUUACUAUGGCACUUACUUAUAGCUCGUUGUAGUUUGGCUUUUUUGAAAGAUUUUUGUUGUUUUGGUGCGGUUCCCCACAACACAUACAACAUUCAUGCAUUAUUUAAUUGUCAUAUGUUGAAUAUCUAUCUAUGUAUCAAUACAUACAUAUAUUGUUAUUAUUCCAAAGUCCAGCCACUGAAACAGUUUAUUCUUCCUCACACGAGUGCUGUAGGACAUGACACACACACUCAGACACGUACGCACAAGAGUAAUGUCCUGAGACACAUGUUGCUAGGACACAAGCACCAAGAGUGGUAUGGCAAGCUGUCUUUGUUUGUGCAGUGAAUAUGUGUGUGAGUGUUUAAGUGUAUGCAUUUACGUGUGUGUGUGUGUUUGUGUGUGAGAGUGAUAACCCGCCAAGGGGACUCAAAAGAGGCAGCUAAUGGACUCCAACCACGGAGCACUUGUCACACAAACAUUUCUGCUGUCAAAGCAGUUAUCACACGUAACACAAUGAGACACCCACCCUCCCUCUUCCCCAUAGACACAUACACAUGCAUACAGCGUCCCAAAGCAGCCAUUUGUCCCAGCUUGCACAGAGUGGUUGGGAGCGGAGCAGAGCAGAGAACAAAGGAGAUGAGACAGUCAGAGAGAACAGUUGUGUUUUCACAGUUGUUUUAGCAAAUCCGAUGUGACAAAGUGAAAAAAGAGGGCGCCUCAGCACCAUGCUGCUACGGACUUGCACACACUGACAAUGCCGCGUGAGGAUAUAGGUGUGCACAAGGACUCUUUGCCAGAUAUUAAUCAGUAUUAGCCUUUUUCAGAGACGUCAUGCUGUGUAACUUACCGCUGGAUAGGAAGCAUGUAUGGAUGGAUUUGACGUAAUCAGACUUUUUUGUUUUUAACUUUGGAGACCACCGUAACAGUGCUUCCUUGAGAGGGUGGCCGACCUUUUACAAAGUCCAGGGAAAUAUGGGACCAGGGACAAUGUCGACCACAGAGCUUGAUGAGAGUUUAACCUCAUGUGGACGUCCUCCAGGCUGUGAUGGUCCAUUCAUACCAUGAAAGGGUGAACAGCCCUCUCCAAGUCAAAGUAAUAUCUAUAUCGAAGUAAGUUUUAUAUAACAUGUUUGUGUCUGAAGAGUGUGUGUAUCUUGCUACUUGUUUUGAUUAGAAAAAAGAUGUCUGUAAUUAAUGUCCAGUUGGUUUAGUCAGAAGCGCCUCAGUGGCGCCGCUCACAGGACAGCUUAGGUCACACAUAUAUACACACACAGCAUACUUUCAUGUAUCUCUUUUUCACACACACACACACACACACACACACACACACACACACACACACACACACACACACACACACACACACACACACACACACACACACACACACAUACAGACUCACAACUACACACAUUCAGUCAACAGCACACACAUGCAGAAAACAUAAAAUCAUCUCCAAAAAUGCAAAAAUGUGCCACCUUUCUUGUUACUUUGUUUUCACAAAGGUGUUAUUUAAAAGGAAAUUUAGACUAUUUUUAUAUUAUUAAUAUUACAAAGUGUUUGUAUUGUGCUCACAGCCGUUAAAAAAACUGUUCUGUGUAUGAUUCACCCUUUUGGGCUUCCAACGUUCAGUAAUAUCUGUACACAGAUAAACUACGGAAACAAUUUGGCUUGGUGGUAUUUUCAUUUUAGUCUUUUCCUUGGGACCAUCGCUGAGGUUUAGUCUGCUGCUGGAGUUCAGAACUGUAUUUCAAACAACCAGCACAUCUUAAUAUGUACAAAUAUGAGAACAUUUUGGAUAAUAUGAAAUGUUGUUCCAUUACCAUGUAUCACUUCGAUGAUUACCUUUUGCACAUGUCCUACUGGUCUGCUGGUUCUUUUUGUUUGCUGGAUUUUCAGUUGGUUGCAUCAAAGAGCUUCUCCAACGACUACAGACAACAGAUUGAAUGCCGCACCCAAAGCAGGAAAAGACAAUGCAGUGCAAUGAGGCUACUGAAAGGGAUAAAGAACCAGAUAGGCACACUGGGCAUAUCAUUUCAAUUAUUUCAG
ensembl:lncRNA